AGCACCUUCAUAUGCUGUGAGCCCGUUGCCAAGUUAGCUCUCAACACAUGGAGAACGGCCCAGAACGAUGAGCUCCUCUGGACCAGAGUCCGGGUUCGUCUGUCACUGCCACUUUCCCCGUUAGCCCUGAAGAGGAGGACAAUGGGUGAAGGCAAGAGUCACACCUGACUGUAUGAGAGAGUGGCUCCACCGAGGUCCCCAUAUGACAUGUGCUGAACUCAGCAGGCGGCGUGACAGGCCUAUCUGGGAGAGAGAGAGAGAGUGGUCUCAGUGUGCUUGUUCCAAGCUUCCAGCGCCGGGUCACGGGACCGAGGGGUGAGCAGCUUACACUAUGUCAGGAGUGGAGGGCGACUACGUCAACAUGUGGUUAUGCACCUGCAAUAACAACUGUCCGCCCAUUCAUACAUAACGUCGUACACCUAGGAGCUACAUUCUGGCCAGCCCACCACUAAAAGAGCCUUGCUGGUUGGUGCGCAGAUUAAUUGCACAUCUGGUAUCAGUUAGGGCUGCAUACUUGGCACCGCUGAGGCUUCUACAGUCGAGGAAAGCAGCACGUUCCAGGAGCCCGGCCCAGCCUCUGACUCUCCCCCACGUCUCCUGGUUAGAAACAGGACACAUUUGUCUCUGAGGGAUUUUGACCCUUGA